GACGAACGCUGGCGGCGUGCUUAACACAUGCAAGUCGAACGGAAAGGCCCUGCUUUUGUGGGGUGCUCGAGUGGCGAACGGGUGCGUAACACGUGAGUAACCUGCCCUUGUCUUUGGGAUAACUUCAGGAAACUGGGGCUAAUAUCGGAUAGGAGCUCCUGCUGCAUGGUGGGGGUUGGAAAGUUUCGGCGGUUGGGGAUGGACUCGCGGCUUAUCAGCUUGUUGGUGGGGUAGUGGCUUACCAAGGCUUUGACGGGUAGCCGGCCUGAGAGGGUGACCGGCCACAUUGGGACUGAGAUACGGCCCAGACUCCUACGGGAGGCAGCAGUGGGGAAUAUUGCACAAUGGGCGGAAGCCUGAUGCAGCAACGCCGCGUGCGUGAUGACGGCCUUCGGGUUGUAAACCGCUUUCGCCUGUGACGAAGCGGGAGUGACGGUAAUGGGUAAAGAAGCACCGACUAACUACGUG
rnacentral:rRNA from 1 species